CUGAGGGGGAGGAGCGCCGCUGCCGCCGACGCCUACGCCGCCGCGGGCUCCGUGAGUGAGGAAGCGCCUCGGUCAGGCCUGCUGAGGGCCGUUGCCGACGCCUGGGCUCACCCGCCGCCCCGCCAGCUCCGCUCGCUUCCCGUCCCCCGCGGCCCGGCGCGGGGCAGGCCUGCCGGGGCCAUGGAGGACGAGGUGGUCCGCAUUGCCAAGAAGAUGGACAAGAUGGUGCAGAAGAAGAACGCGGCUGGAGCAUUGGAUUUACUGAAGGAGCUUAAGAAUAUUCCCAUGACCUUGGAAUUAUUACAGUCCACAAGAAUCGGAAUGUCAGUGAAUGCUAUUCGCAAGCAGAGCACAGAUGAAGAAGUUACAUCUUUAGCAAAGUCCCUCAUCAAAUCCUGGAAAAAGUUAUUAGAUGGACCAUCAACAGAUAAAGACUCUGAAGAAAAGAAAAAAGAUACUGCAGUUACAUCACAGAAUAGCCCUGAAGCAAGAGAAGAAAGUAGCUCCAGUGGCAACGUAAGCAGCAGAAAGGAUGAGACAAAUGCCCGAGACACUUACGUUUCAUCUUUUCCUCGGGCCCCAAGCACUUCUGAUUCUGUGCGGUUAAAGUGUAGGGAGAUGCUCGCUGCGGCUCUCCGAACGGGAGAUGACUACAUCGCUAUUGGAGCUGAUGAGGAAGAAUUAGGAUCUCAAAUCGAGGAAGCUAUCUAUCAAGAAAUAAGGAAUACGGACAUGAAAUACAAAAAUAGAGUACGAAGUAGGAUAUCAAAUCUUAAGGAUGCUAAGAAUCCAAAUUUAAGGAAAAAUGUGCUGUGUGGGAAUAUUCCUCCUGACUUAUUUGCUAGAAUGACGGCAGAGGAGAUGGCCAGCGAUGAGCUCAAAGAGAUGCGGAAAAACUUGACCAAAGAAGCCAUCAGAGAGCAUCAGAUGGCCAAGACAGGUGGGACCCAGACGGACUUGUUCACAUGUGGCAAAUGCAAGAAGAAGAACUGCACUUACACACAGUAUUUUUCACCUGACUUUGCCGCAGGUCCAAACACGGAGUGCUGAUGAACCGAUGACAACGUUUGUUGUCUGCAACGAGUGUGGAAACCGGUGGAAGUUCUGUUGAGUUGGAAGAAUUGGCAAAACGUCUGGACCAUUAAGAAAAUGGAUUUUGUAAUUAGCUUUAAGACUAGGCCAACCAACUAGUUGGCAAAUCAGAUUUUUAAAGUAACAUAUAUCCCUUGGGUUAGUCUCUGUUUUUGACAUAGGAUCCCUUCCUUAAAUGCCUUCUGUAGUUUCAGAGCAGUAAGGAGACCACAUAAUAAUUGUAUGGUAUCUGUUUCAAAACUUUUUUUUUUCCAUUUUUAUAAGUAAGUUGAUAUUAAAUUUUUGGCAGUUUAUUUUUACCUUUUUUUUUCCUUCAUAAAGGAAAAUGUACCUUAACUUUUUUACAAUCUGAAACAUACACAGUAAAAAUGGUAUUCUUCUCAGUUAAUACACAAAUGGAAAUUACAUUUUUUCCCUAUAUUGGCAUGUACCUGCAAAUAUUAAAAGAGGAGAAGAGGUAAUGUAAUUAUAAGUUUAUCAAACAUGGUGUGUAUUCAGAUAAUACUUGACCAGCUUAUCUAAAUUGUACAUAAUAUUUCAACUAGCAUAUGAAAUUGAUUUUAAUUAUUAUGUUCACAAGUCUGGGAUAAUUAGUUAUUAUUUUGCAUUUGUAACUAACUGUGAUCCUCAUUUCUUGUAAUUUCUUGUACAUGUUUAUUACUUGUUUGUAAUAGAUUUUACUUUUGGAAACAUGACUUGACUUUGUUGAAAUCAGUUUGGUUUGUUGUUUAUUUACCUGUUUGACUUUGUAGUGUAUUUUACUUUUGCAGAACACUGUUGUAGUUUAGUAGGCUUUUCCUAAAUCCCAGCUCAGGCAAAGAAUGAAAACUUCUGUUUUUUCCUUUUGUAGGAAGACAUACUGGGAAGAAAAUGUUAGCAUUUUAGGAUAGUGUUGUUCUUACAAACAGUUCAUGACUUAACUUUGAUUUGGAAAUCUGUGCUGACCAAGGACUUUAAGGUUUAUAUAAAUCAUUAACACUGUGGCCUUUCCGUAUGGACACUAAUGGAGCACAUUUCUGUCCUGACUCUCUUUCUGUCACACAAGAAUGAGGUUGUGGAACAGACUAAUACUUGGGCUGUAACGCAGCUGAUUCACAGGAAGGACCUUACAGUUAAGCGUGUGCCAUCUGUUUUGUUAGGAAUAAGAAAAAAUGAUUUUCACACUUGGUCUAGCACAUCUUAAGGCCACUGUUAACAAAGUCCACGUUUCACUGUGCUCCGUCUGUGCCCUCAAACCUCUAUAGGAAGAUCUGAGUACCUGCUUUGCACUCCCCUUCGCUCCCUUUUCUCCACUGCUUCCUGCAGGUCAGUUUGAUGUAAUAGAGAAAACAACAUCUAAAAGUCCAUGUUCAGACCCCACAUAGAGGAACUGGCCCACUGGUACCAUCCCACCUCUACUUUGUCAGGUCACAGAGUAACCUUUUAUCAUUUGAAAAAUAACGUGCAUUUUUGAAAGAAUGAAUUUAAUAAGAAUAAAAUUAAAAUAGUCCCACUUUUAAAUUAAGUGAUCCAUUUUUAAAUUUGUUAAUAAAGUUUCUUGUUAUUAAA